AAGCAGUGACACAGAAGGAUAACUCGAGCAGGGUGAUGGUCAACCCUGUGCAAGCAUCAAGGUUGGGUUGUAGUGAAGUACGCAACCCUAUAAGCUGAGAUGUGAUGCGGACCGAAAUUUCAGUAGGGAAGCGAGUGAGUUCACGCUGGCGAGAAAAGCUGCUAGUAUAUCCAAAGGUACCCGUACCGGAAACCGACGCAGGUGGGCGAGGAGAGAAUCCUGAGACGAACGGGAGAACCCUUGUUAAGGAACUCGGCAAAAUGACCCCGUAACUUCGGGAUAAGGGGUGCCUGCGAGAGCAGGCCGCAGAGAAUAGUCACAAGCGACUGUUUAGCAAAAACACAGGUAUCUGCGAAAGCGAGAGCUGACGUAUAGGUGCUGACACCUGCCCGGUGCUGGAAGGUUAAGGGAACAUGUUAGAGCAAUCGAAGCAUCGAACCGAAGCCCCAGUAAACGGCGGCCGUAACGAUAACGGUCCUAAGGUAGCGAAAUUCCUUGUCGGGUAAGUUCCGACCCGCACGAAUGGUGUAACGACUUGUGAGCUGUCUCAACAGGGGGCCCGGUGAAAUUGAAGUAUGGGUGAAGAUGCCCAUUACCCGCGACUGGACGGAAAGGCCCCGUAGAGCUUUACUGCAGCCUGAUAUUGAGUUUCGGUAACUGAUGCACAGGAUAGGUGGGAGUCUGAGAGACAUGGGUUUCGGCUCAUGAGGAGACGCUGUUGGGAUACCACUCUUCGGUUACUGAAAUUCUAACAUAGCUCUGUGAAACCAGAGGAUGGACAGUGUCAGGUGGACAGUUUGACUGGGGCGGUCGCCUCCGAAAGAGUAACGGAGGCGCCCAAAGGUACCCUCAGAAUGGAUGGAAACCAUUCGAAGAGCGCAAAGGCAGAAGGGUGCCUGACUGCGAGAUUGACAAAUCGAGCAGAGACGAAAGUCGGGCUUAGUGAUCCGGCGGUAUUGAGUGGAAAAGCCGUCGCUUAACGGAUAAAAGCUACCUCGGGGAUAACAGGCUGAUCUCCCCCAAGAGUCCACAUCGACGGGGAGGUUUGGCACCUCGAUGUCGGCUCGUCGCAUCCUGGGGCUGAAGCAGGUCCCAAGGGUUUGGCUGUUCGCCAAUUAAAGCGGCACGCGAGCUGGGUUCAGAACGUCGUGAGACAGUUCGGUCCCUAUCCAUCGUGGGCGCAGGAGUCAUGAGAGGAGCUGUUCCUAGUACGAGAGGACCGGAAUGGACGCACCACUGGUGCAACUGUUGUCGUGCCAACGGCAUAGCAGGGAAGCGAAGUGCGGAUGGGAUAAACGCUGAAGGCAUCUAAGCGUGAAGCCCACCUCAAGAAUAAGACUCCACAAUAGACCCCUGGAGGACUACCAGGUAGAUAGGUCAUCGGUGGAAGCGCUGUAAGGCGUGUAGCUUGAUGAUACUAAU
rnacentral:rRNA from 1 species